UGCAUGUACAUGGUUGUUUGUUGCUUAUUGCUGAUUGUCCAUAUGUCUGCAAUUUUUGGUGAAAUAUUUUGACAAGGCAAACUGACACAGACGGUAACUGAAACAGACAAUUAGACACCGUUAAUUAAAGAAUAUUAAAAUGUCACAGGUUCUUACCUUGUCCUCAGUCAUGUUUCUCUUGUUUGAUGUAGGACACCAGACCUCGCAUGUCUCUCAUCUUCUGUCUCGUCCUCUCAUUCACUGAGCUCAAGUUCCUACACACACACACACACACACACCCACACACACAUAAACACACACACACACAUACACACACACACACACACACACACACACACACACACACACACACACACACACAGAGGUAUAAUAAUAGUAAUAAUAAUACAUUUUAUUUGGAGGCGCCUUUCAAGUCACCCAAGGUCACCUUGCAAUAAAAUAAUACAGGAUAAAAGCUAAAAGCAUGAAAGAUCGAAACAACAUUAAAACAGAACAUCAGCAUAAAAACAAGUGAAGUGCACAGGGUCCAGUUAUAAAGAGUAUGCCAGUUUGAACAGGUGAGUUUUGAGUUGAGACUUGAAUGAUGUGAUGGAGUCUGAUUGUCUUAUGUGUGGGGGGAUGGAGUUCCAGAGCCUGGGUGCUGAGCAGCUGAAGGCUCGGGCACCCAUGGUACUGAAGCGUGACGUGGGGAUGGUUAGCAGUCCAGAAGAGGAUGAGCGGAGGGUGUGGGAGGGAGUGUAUUCCUGAAGGAGGUCGUAGAGGUGAUGAUCCGGGCGGCCGAGUUCUGAAUGAUUUGCAGUCUGUUGAUGAGUUUGGUGGGGAGUCCAGUGAGGAGGGCAUUGCAGUAGUCGAUGCGGGAUGUGACAAAUGAGUGGACCAGGAUUUCGGUGCUGGACUGGGUCACUGAUAGGCGGAGUCUGGAGAUGUUGCGGAGGUGGAAGAAUGCAGUCCGGGUGAUGUUUUGAAUAUGGGCUGCAAAUGAAAGGGUGCUGUCCAGAAUGACGCCGAUGCUCUUGACUUGAGGGGAGAAGGGUACAGGGAAUCCGUCGACGAUGAUGGGUGGAGCUGGGGUGCGUUGGGAUGUAUAGCACAGUCCCCAUGGGAACAUCAAGAAUGGUUUGUUUUAUAAAGAAGAUUGAGAAGCUCAAAAUAAGAAACAUGCACGAUAGUAGCAGCUAUGUUUCUGUAACUUUAGUGUGAGUAUAAAUGAUAAAUAGCAGUUUUUUUACAGUUGCGCUGGAGAGCCCACCUUAUCAGACAACACUUCCCCCACCUUGGCCUCCAGCAACACAGGAAACUCAGAGGGAAACAGGCAGGGUGGGUCAGCAAUAUCCACCUCCCUCUUUUUUUGCUUGUAGUUUUCUCUGUAUUUUUGUUUUCAGUCCAAGUUUUUUUUGGUCAGCAUUGCUUUGGAUGCACAAAAUCCAAGAGAAGAGCAGGUAUUGUGCUUUUUCCCAGACAGUGAGGAAGUGAGUUGUGUAUGCACAGAUGCAGAGGAAAAAUUACAUUGAAAUUAUCAAAACUUAUAUGAUUAGAAGAGGAAGAAUUAAUGGGAGAAAGUGUUUUUCUAUGAUAUCCAACCCAUUUUCCCUCUUUAAUUCUACCUCUCUCUGUACUGCAGCGGGUACAUUGUAGCCAAGAGUCAGUGUUAAAUAUACAUAUUCUGUGUUUUGAAUAUAGUUUUAUAUUUAAUGGGUCAUUACUUAUGUGUUUUUUAGCUUAGUGAGAGUAUUACCUGGGAGUGUGUACCCAGACGAUUACAGUAAGCAUUGGAGCUUAUGAUCUAGUGGGAGGUCAUUAUAUUGAUCAGACAAUCAUAUGAUGUUUUAUAAUAAGUGAUGUGACACUGAAGUCAGAGAAUUGCCUUUUUUUGAUGUCAUUCAUGUGCAUGACAUCAAUCAAUAACACAUCUAUCUUUGCAUCCUAUAACCUAAACCUUAUAUAUAUUGAAAAAUAAUUCAGGAUCAUACAGGAUAUAAUCUAUAAUACUGUCUCUUUGGGCUGCAAGAUUAAACUCAAUAAAGAAAAUAAUUACACAAAUUACAUCAAACUUGUAGUUUUUCCUCCACACAGAGCCCUGUUGAAAAGCUCUGACACUCAGUAUAAAACAUCAAAACAAACCGAAAACUUAUGCAUUGGACAAUGUUUAAGUUGUUGCUUUUGACUAAUGAACUUACAAAACCAAACCUACAAAAUAUUUGCACUGAUCUGAACCACACUGUUCUUUAAAAUGUUUUCCAGUUUGUAUUAUGGUGUAACAUAAGCUGUUUAAGACAUGCACUGAACUCUGGAGAUCCUCCAGAAAUGACAUCAUCAUGACAUCAAAAAAUUACAUCAUAUAGUGUUGUAAUGCAUUGACUUUUUCAACCAAUAAAAUGAAAGACACAAUCUAACGAUUAUUUACGUUAACCAUUCACACAGUGUAAAUUACAUCACGAUGGCCUUAUUAUGAAAUAGAAUUAUUACAAUAUUAAAUAGUUUGCUGAUUGUGCUGUAUACAGUGUAUGUGCAGGGCAAUAGUCACCCCACCACUGCUCCAUGUAUUAUUAAAGAAGGUUUGCUGAUCUAAUCUGCUUUGAUUUGUUUUUUUCUGUAUAGGCAGAGUUUUCAUUUGAUGAUUUGUUCCAUUAGUGAGAGAGGGGGAUUCAAGGAGGGUGUAACUGAGGUGAAGUGAGUCUGACACUGCUCGGGGGAAAUGUCAGUUUCUCAGUGCCUGAUGUUGCCAGUGCAGAGUGGGAGGUAGGAAUUCAUCAUGUGUAGGAGUUCCACACAUGGUCAGGAAGAAGAGGGAAAGUAGAUAUAUUCCAGUUUAUCAUGUCAUGAGUAUUUGUUAGUAAAAGUUCAUUUUGUGAGUUGAUGUCUGAAUUCCUAUAAUACUGUUGUCUGGCUGUAGUGAUCGGCUGAACAGAGAGUUGGUAUCCCUGUGUGUUUUCUCAGUGAAGUGUAAAGCUCUGCUGUGAUGCCAGCGCUGCUGCUUCAUUUCUUCUUUUCUGGAUGAACGACUUUCCCAGAAGCACAUUUGUGUUUUGUGUUAAGUGUGUGGAGCGUGUCUAGUGAUGUAGUCGUUCUAGUUCAAGGUGAAUUUGCUUCUUAUAUCUCAUGUCAGAGAAAGGAUAAUACAGUUAGGAUGAUAAUACAUGUACCAGAAGUAACCUAUUUUUUAGACAGUUUGGGUAAAUCUAGGCUGGAGAGAAAUUGCUCUGUGUCAGCUCCAUGUUCAGAGGGGAAUAGGUACGUGAGAAAAAUUAUCCAAAGGCGUGAUUUAUUUCAUGUUGGACGGUUUCUUCUAUGUUGCUGGAAUUGUUAUUUAUUUUUUACCUCUGAAUUUAAAUAUGUGUCAUAAGGGGACAGUUCACUUAGUGACACUCUAGUUUGUACAUUCUGUUGUAGAAGAGAAUUGUGUUUAUUUGUAUAUGUUUUUGUCUUGUGUUGGUUUAGAUGGAUUGCUUUUGUAAAGUUCCUCUUUUCUGCUAUUGAUUUUUUACUAUUUGAGAAGUACAUAAUUAUGCAUUGACUGUCUACUAUUUGCUAAUUUUAUGUUCAUUUCAAUGAAGUAUGCUGUCUGUGUGAAAAGCAACAAAGCGUGUUGUUGUGAUGUGUUGAAAUGAGGAGGGGCUUAAAGGGCUCAGUAUUUACAGUCAGUGAUACAGGUGAUGGUCACAGAUUAUAAUGAGUGUCAGUGGUGUCCCAUGUUCCUGUCAAAGUGUUACUAUUUCAGAAAAAAUUUAUCUGAGACGAGGUUUGGUGAAGGGGAGGAAAAUAUGAAAACAGGUUUCGCCAAAUACAACGCAAUAUUUCUAUAUACUGGUUUUAUGUGCCAGUUAAAUAUUUCUUCUAUCACCUGAUAUACGUGUGCAGACAAGUGUUUGUGUAAUUGAAUGUUGGUUGAAGAUCCUUUAAAAAAUAAUUCCACUUUUUACAAAGUUUAGUAAAAAGCUGGUGUGACAUAAUGCCAUUACAACAGCACAGAUUCUCCUAUGUAAAUAUCGCACACACAUUGCACACACAUUGUACACUAUACACAGUUUUUCAAGCUAGGUUGAUCCAAGCGUCUUAGAGGUGUUGAGCUUUGAUCUUGGGUCAGUCAGAGGCAGAUUGGGUGCAGUCAUUCUGCUGCAGGACUCCUCGUUCCUCUCAUCACUGUCGACAGCUCUUUAUGGCUCGUCAUGCUGCAGAAUGAAUAUGGGAUCA